rnacentral:rRNA from 1 species
GUUGUAAUCUGCAGAGGGUGUUUCGGGUAAAGUCUGGUUUAAGUUCCUUGGAACAGGACGUCAUAGAGGGUGAGAACCCCGUCAUUGACCAAUCACCAACCCAUGUGAAACCCCUUCGACGAGUCGAGUUGUUUGGGAAUGCAGCUCUAAAUGGGUGGUAAAUUUCAUCUAAAGCUAAAUAUUGGCCGGAGACCGAUAGCGCACAAGUAGAGUGAUCGAAAGAUGAAAAGCACUUUGGAAAGAGAGUUAAAUAGUACGUGAAAUUGUUGAAAGGGAAGCGCUUGCGGCCAGACCUGUGCGUAGGUGAUCAGUUGGUAUUCUUACCAAUGCACUCACCUAAAGCCAGGCCAGCAUCGGUUUCGGCGGCGGGACAAAAGCGUGGAGAAUGUAACUCUCUCUUGGGUGAGUACUUAUAGCUCGUCAUGGAAUGCCGCCAGCCGGGACCGAGGACCGCGCUUUGGCUAGGAUGCUGGCGUAAUGGUUGCAAGCGACCCGUCUUGAAACACGGACCAAGGAGUCUAACAUCUAUGCGAGUGUUUGGGUGUAAAACCCAGGCGCGGAAUGAAAGUGAACGGAGGUGAGAACCCUUAAAGGGGGUGCACCAUCGACCGAUCCUGAUGUCUUCGGAUGGAUUUGAGUAUGAGCAUAGCUGUUGGGACCCGAAAGAUGGUGAACUAUGCCUGAACAGGGUGAAGCCAGAGGAAACUCUGGUGGAAGCUCGCAGCGGUUCU